CACGAGAAAGUGGAGCAAUCCAUGAGUACAGUGGCGUACGGGUGAGUAACACGUGGAUCAUCUACCUUCUAGUGGGGAAUACCCCCGGGAAACUGGGGACAAUACCGCAUAAGCUCGUAAGAGGAAAGCAGCAAUGCGCUGGAAGAGGAGUCCGCGGCUGAUUAGCUAGUUGGCGGGGUAACGGCCCACCAAGGCGAAGAUCGGUAGCCGGCCUGAGAGGGCGCACGGCCACACUGGCACUGAAACACGGGCCAGACUCCUACGGGAGGCAGCAGUGGGGAAUCUUGCACAAUGGAGGAAACUCUGAUGCAGCGACGCCGCGUGAGCGAUGAAGCCCUUCGGGGUGUAAAGCUCUUUCGACGGGAACGAUAAUGACGGUACCCGAAGAAGAAGCUGCGGCUAACUACGUGCCAGCAGCCGCGGUAAUACGUAGGCAGCAAGCGUUGUUCGGAAUUACUGGGCGUAAAGAGUGUGUAGGCGGUGUUCUAAGUUUGUCGUGAAAUCUCCCGGCUUAACUGGGAGGGUGCGGCGAAAACUGGAAUGCUAGAGGAUGGGAGAGGUAAGCGGAAUUCCUGGUGUAGCGGUGAAAUGCGUAGAUAUCAGGAGGAACACCUGUGGUGUAGACAGCUUACUGGACCAUUUCUGACGCUGAGACACGAAAGCGUGGGUAGCAACAGGAUUAGAUA
rnacentral:rRNA from 1 species